AAUUAUUGUUUAUUUUUGACGGUCUUUAUUUUCAGCUUACCACUAUUCCUCUUCUUCUCUUAUCAACGACCCUGUUUCUCUUUUUUUCUUCCGUCAAAUUUGGGAUCACCUGCUCCUCUUCUUUCCUUGGCUCCGGCUCUUAGUUUUGGAUUCCACUACUCAUUCUUCAUAUUCAAAAUCUCAGUUUACUCUUCAAUUUCAAGAUUCAUCUCAUUCUUCAGCUCCAAAAUCAACUUAGUCUUGUUAGAUUUCAAAAUUUUUUUAUUCAAACUUCUUAUACUAUACGUAUUAAGGUCAAACAAUUUUAUCAAUGGCUUCCAAAUUGCUAUUAAAGAAACAAAGUCAACCAACUGAGACAAGUAUUUUUUUAUUAUUGCUUAUUUAUGUGAAUUGUAAUUGUUAAGGUCAUUUAUAGUCUUCUAGAAUGCAUUUUUCUUGUUUAUUAUUGUUUGGUAAUGCUGAAUAUUCUAUAAUUUGCUAUGUUUUCUAUGUAUGACUCUGUAUUAAGUGACAUAUUCAUGCUUACUUUGGAGGAGUCAAUGUUAAUUCUCACUUCUCUCUUUGCCUGUCAAGUAAUUUUUUACGGCUGAAUCCACAUCUAACUAUAAUUAUUCUGAGGUAUACACUUUCGUCGCUCUCAAUAUUUAGGAUUAGAAUAUCUUUCAUGACUUGUUUAAAUAGUGUUCUAUAACAAAUAGACUUCUACUUGUGCUUCUGCUAUGCAUUCUCUCUUUUCUGCUCUGCCUCUUUGCCUCUGCUAUUUUUGUGAUAAAAUUUGUGAUCAAAAACAAAAAGGUAAUCAAGAUAUAUAUAAACACACACAUCACUGUAUGUAAUAACAAACUUAGAAGUACCUUGGUGUGCGUUUGGCAAAUACGGCGCACUGUUACAUUACAAAGGCAUAUCAUUUUGUCCAUGGGAUAUAUCACUUCCUCAGUAGUAUAGGUGUUAGCACGCUCAGUUGUUCCCUUUAGCUUUGUUGAAAGUUUAUCAAUUUUCUAAUUAAGGUCACAGUCACAAGUAGCUAAAUUCAGAUAAAAUUUGAUACAUCAAAUUAAAGUACACAUUUACCAAGUAGUAAAAAAUAAUUUCCAUUCACGAAUAGGAAAGAAUAAAAAUUCUGAUCUUUGUAACUCUCCUUGAUUAGGAAAUAUACCUCUUGCACUAAAGCUGGAUUGGUUUCGUAUAGCUGCAGCAGAUCCUUCAUAUACACUCUUUUUUAUUAAUAAACACACGUUACUCUUUCCAGUAAUAACUAGAUCAUACAUUAGUUACCAAAUUUUAAUGCUAACAAUUUCUUAUGUACAUUUGGGAUAUUAAUUACUUGUCUAUUUAUUUAUGGUCAUAUAUUUUGGUCCUUUAGAAAAAAUAAAAAACAAAAGAAAUUAAAGACAGUGACUAUAAUGUUGUUUAAUUAAGCCUUAGAAAUUAACCGACUAUAUCUCCCUAAAACCAGCAAAAACCAAGGACUAAAUUCAUGUUACA